UACGUAGGGGGCAAGCGUUGUCCGGAUUUAUUGGGCGUAAAGAGCGUGUAGGCGGCCAGGUAGGUCAGCUGUGAAAACUCGAGGCUCAACCUCGAGAUGUCGGCUGAAACCAUCUGGCUAGAGUCCGGAAGAGGAGAAUGGAAUUCCCGGUGUAGCGGUGAAAUGCGUAGAUAUCAGGAGGAAUACCGAUGGCGAAGGCAGGUCUCUGGGCUGACACUGACGCUCAUGCACGAAAGCGUGGGGAGCAAACAGG
rnacentral:rRNA from 1 species